UACGGAGGGUGCAAGCAUUAAUCGGAUUUAUUGGGCGUAAAGGGCGCGUAGGCGGCUAUGUAAGUCAGAUGUGAAAUUUCCGAGCUCAACUCGGAACCCGCAUUUGAAACUACAUUAUCUAGAGGGUAGGCGGAGAAAACGGAAUUCCACAAGUAGCGGUGAAAUGCGUAGAUAUGUGGAAGAACACCGGUGGCGAAGGCGGUUUUCUAGCUUAUUCCUGACGCUGAAGCGCGAAAGCAAGGGGAUCAAACAGG
rnacentral:rRNA from 1 species